GACGAACCGUGCGAACGUUGUUCGGAAUCACUGGGCUUAAAGGGCGCGUAGGCGGGCUGCCAAGUCCGUGGUGAAAUCCCUCGGCUCAACCGGGGAACGGCCUCGGAUACUGGCGGCCUCGAGGGGGGUAGGGGCGUGCGGAACUGUGGGUGGAGCGGUGAAAUGCGUUGAUAUCCACAGGAACUCCGGUGGCGAAGGCGGCACGCUGGACCCGUCUCUGACCGCUGAGUGCGC
rnacentral:rRNA from 1 species